rnacentral:rRNA from 1 species
AAACAGGUUAAUAUUCCUGUACUUGGUGUUACUGCGAAGGGGGGACGGAGAAGGCUAUGUUAGCCGGGCGACGGUUGUCCCGGUUUAAGCAUGUAGGCGGAGGUUCCAGGUAAAUCCGGUACCUUUUUAACGCUGAGGUGUGAUGACGAGGCACUACGGUGCUGAAGUAACAAAUGCCCUGCUUCCAGGAAAAGCCUCUAAGCAUCAGGUAACAUUGAAUCGUACCCCAAACCGACACAGGUGGUCAGGUA